CCUACGUGUGUCUGCAGUGGGGAAUAUUGCGCAAUGGGCGAAAGCCUGACGCAGCGACGCCGCGUGAGGGAUGAAGGCCUUCGGAUCGUAAACCUCUUUCAGCAGGGAAGAACGGUCACAGUGUUAAUCAGCAGUGAAUUGACGGUACCUGCAGAGGAAGCACCGGCUAACUCCGUGCCAGCAGCCGCGGUAAUACGGAGGGUGCGAGCGUUAAUCGGAAUUACGGGGCGUAAAGCGCGCGUAGGCGGUAUGUCAAGUCAAGGGUGAAAUCCCCGGGCUCAACGUGGGAACUGCCUCUGAAACUGGCAGGCUGGAGUGUGGUAGAGGAUAGUGGAAUUCCAGGUGUAGGAGUGAAAUGCGUAGAGAUCUGGAGGAACACCAGUGGCGAAGGCGACUCUCUGGCACAUAACUGACGCUGAGGAGCGAAAGCGUGGGUAGCAAACAGGAUUAGAUACCCCAGUAGUC
rnacentral:rRNA from 1 species